rnacentral:rRNA from 1 species
AAUGAACGCUGGCGGCAUGCCUUACACAUGCAAGUCGAACGGCAGCAUGACCUAGCUUGCUAGGUUGAUGGCGAGUGGCGAACGGGUGAGUAAUGCAUCGGAACGUGCCUUUUAGUGGGGGAUAACUUAGCGAAAGUUACGCUAAUACCGCAUAUUCCCUGAGGAGGAAAGCAGGGGACCUUCGGGCCUUGCGCUAGAAGAGCGGCCGAUGUCGGAUUAGCUAGUUGGUGAGGUAAAGGCUCACCAAGGCAACGAUCCGUAGCGGGUCUGAGAGGAUGAUCCGCCACACUGGGACUGAGACACGGCCCAGACUCCUACGGGAGGCAGCAGUGGGGAAUUUUGGACAAUGGGCGCAAGCCUGAUCCAGCCAUGCCGCGUGAGUGAAGAAGGCCUUCGGGUUGUAAAGCUCUUUCGGCUGGGAAGAAAUCGCACCCUCUAAUACAGGGUGUGGAUGACGGUACCAGCAGAAGAAGCACCGGCUAACUACGUG